rnacentral:rRNA from 1 species
UACGAAGGUGGCAAGCGUUGUUCGGAUUCACUGGGCGUACAGGGUGUGUAGGCGGUUUGGUAAGCCUUCUGUUAAAGCUUCGGGCCCAACCCGGAAAGCGCGGAGGGUACUGCCAGGCUAGAGGACGGGAGAGGAGCGCGGAAUUCCCGGUGUAGCGGUGAAAUGCGUAGAGAUCGGGAGGAAGGCCGGUGGCGAAGGCGGCGCUCUGGAACGUUACUGACGCUGAGACACGAAAGCGUGGGGAGCAAACAGG